rnacentral:sRNA from 1 species
UUAUCGAAAAUGUGAAGUACAUGCUACUUAUAGCCAAAUAUCCCGAAACCCUAAUACUCAAAACAACGAAGUAUUGGGACGGGUUAAGAACUGUACUCGACCCAUGUGGUCGAGUGAGAGGUUGAAUGAAUAGCUAUAGUCUUCUUUUCUUCCUUGUGCUCGAGUGUCUGGUUGAGUGCGGAAUGAAGAAGGCUCUGAAGCUUGUCAUCGAGUAUGCAGUCGAGUGGUGAUGAUGGUGAUACUCGACAUCCAGGUAGAGUGAUGAGGUCGAGUAGAGGUCUGGCAAUGGGAUGAAGUCACUCGGCCUGGGGGUCGGGUGAUGUGACCGAGUGGUGUCAGAAGAUACUCGACUUCCAGGUUGAGUGACGAGAUCGAGUGGUGGUCUGAUGAUGGAGGUGAAGACACUCGACCUCAUGGUCGAGUGAUGGUCUGGUGAUGGAGAGGAGGGCACUUGACCUCGUGGUCGAGUGGUGAAGUGAAGUGGUGAUGUCCUCUGCUCGACCUGGGGGUCGAGUGGUCUCUUGAGAUCUUGAAGCUCCUACUCGACCUCUUGGUCGAGUGGUUUGUCAUGAUCAGGUCCGCUUCUUCCAGAUAGCUCGUCAACAGCUCCAAAUCACCUGAAAUCAACGCAAAUAUGCAACAUGCAUGCAAAACUAUCCUAAACAUGCAAAGUGAUGACAAAUGAUGUGAAAUGGUAUAAAACAGUGAUGAUAUGAUGCUAAAAUGAUGACAAAUGGAUGCUCAAAACAUGCAAAAUACACACUUAUCAACUCCCCCAAACUUAGUCUUUGCUUGCCCUCAAGCAAACAAUCAAGAACAAGCUGGAGGUGAGGUUUGGAAGCGGGGACUCAGAGCCAAAACACCAGAUAGACCAGAUGAAAUCAAUGUCCAAGUUGAAAGUUCUAAGCUGCAAGAUCGAAUUCUACUUAAAAACGUUAGCCAUGCCUCAUCAAUCAAUCAAUCCGACUCAUAUGCUCGACCUACACAAGUUUUCAAAUCUACCAAUCCCUUUAACAUUCAUUAGUUCUAAAACGUGAAUCAAGCAAUGCAUCAUCAAAGAACUCAUUUGGCUAAGGUAAAAGGUCAAGAGACAAAGAUGGUCCCUUACAGAAUAGGCUUCAGUAACAGGGGAUCUCUCAAAAAAUGAUUAAGCUUUAGUAGAAUGCUAAAGGUAAGUCCCAAGCUAUGCAUACAGAGAUAAGAUCCCAUCUACCCAGAGUACAUCAAAUGAAGCUCUAAUGGUAAUCCCAUCUCCAAUCCCAAUACAAGAACUAAACUCUACCCUUUGCAUUCAUGAAUCUUUUAAACCUUUUUUCUAAUCAUUCUUUUCUUUUCUCUUAACUCUAGGAGAAACUUUCUCAACACUUUGAUACAUCUAGCGGAUUUGGAUUUCUUUAACAACUAAGGUUCUUGUUUUUAACAUUUUAAAACCAAGGGCUUUUGCCCAUCUUCAAUAGCUAACAAGAACUCUUUCUUUUAUUUACAAAUCCCAAAACCUUUACUAGACUUUUUCUGCUUAUUUAGCUUACUUCACCUAGAGUCUUUUACCUUUUCUUGUCAAUGAAUCAACCCCCUUUUUUUUUUUUUUAAACACAUCCCAACCCAAAGUAUAAGCGCCCACCUACUCCUAUCUAGU